CCGGCAAACACCACACUCAGUGGUGGACGUGAGGGCAUACCCAGACGACCACGCACACUUCUUUUUCUCUCUCCUCUCACCUAUACCGGAAAAAAAAAAACCUAGAAGUCAUGGGGCUGUUCCCGUGUUUCAAUUGCUCAAUAUUCUGUUCGUUCCAAAGUUAGCAGGUCAAGGAGGUUUCAGAAGAUUGGAGUUGGGGUUCCCAUCUGCUGCAAAAGAAAUACAUUGAUUGAUUUUGAGGAAAGAACAAGCGCAAAUGAGCUUGUAACUCGCCUAGUUUUUUAGCAAGGCAGCACCGAAGCAGCUGAAAAUGUAGCAGAUAUCAUGUCUACUUAUUUUGUUCAAGAAGUUAUCUCAGCAUGUGUACCUCAUGUUUAUCCUUCACGGUGUGGCCACGGUUGGGCUUGUCUUCCAUUGGUUGCAUCCAGUGCCAAGAUUAGCCUUGCAAGUCAUUUACCGACAUCUUCUGCUAGAGGGACUUCUGCAAGUGAUGCCAACAGUUCCUUGGCUUCAGCUGGUAUUGCUCAGUACCAUCUUCAGUUAGACAUAAGAAAGCAUUUGGUCAAAAUUUCACCAGUUAGAGUUGUACUAGCAUGUAUCUUCGGAGCAGUAUAUUAUACAGUAGUAAUGAGUCAUCCAUCCUCAGUCCCUUGAAUGAAGAGCUGCUGCAUUCACCUGAUACUGACAGGAUAUUCUUUGAAUUCGCUCUUGAUCAGUCAGAGAGAUUUCGAACUUUGAACCGAUAGAUUCAGAUGCAGACUAAUCUUCACCGAGUUUCUGAGAUUGCUGUAACACCCAAGGAUACAGAUGAUGCUGGUGGGAUACAGAACAACAGGAAAUCAUCUGUUAAACGAUCUCGAGAGAAUGAAAUUGCGAACAACAGAGAAUGAUUUUGAUUUUCGAAUGGAUCUAAGUGAUGAAAAAGUGAAAAUCUACAUAAGUGAAUUGCGAACAACGAAGGUUAGUUGUAAUAUUUGAAUUUGGAGUUGUAUACUUGUAUUAGUGAUUUUAUGUUUUUAAUUUGAUAAUUUUAUUGCA